rnacentral:rRNA from 2 species
ACAUGCAAGUCGAGCGGAGAAAUGGGAGCUUGCUCCCAUUUCUCAGCGGCGGACGGGUGAGUAACACGUGGGCAACCUGCCCUACAGACUGGGAUAACUCCGGGAAACCGGAGCUAAUACCGGGUAAUACAUAGCAUCGCAUGAUGCAACGUUGAAAGUUGGCUUUCGAGCUAACACUGUAGGAUGGGCCCGCGGCGCAUUAGCUAGUUGGUAAGGUAACGGCUUACCAAGGCCACGAUGCGUAGCCGACCUGAGAGGGUGAUCGGCCACACUGGGACUGAGACACGGCCCAGACUCCUACGGGAGGCAGCAGUAGGGAAUCUUCCGCAAUGGACGAAAGUCUGACGGAGCAACGCCGCGUGAGUGACGAAGGCCUUCGGGUCGUAAAGCUCUGUUGUUAGGGAAGAACAAGUACCGUUCGAAUAGGGCGGUACCUUGACGGUACCUAACCAGAAAGCCACGGCUAACUACGUGCCAGCAGCCGCGGUAAUACGUAGGUGGCAAGCGUUGUCCGGAAUUAUUGGGCGUAAAGCGCGCGCAGGCGGUCUCUUAAGUCUGAUGUGAAAGCCCACGGCUCAACCGUGGAGGGCCAUUGGAAACUGGGGGACUUGAGUGCAGAAGAGGAGAGUGGAAUUCCACGUGUAGCGGUGAAAUGCGUAGAUAUGUGGAGGAACACCAGUGGCGAAGGCGGCUCUCUGGUCUGUAACUGACGCUGAGGCGCGAAAGCGUGGGGAGCGAACAGGAUUAGAUACCCUGGUAGUCCACGCCGUAAACGAUGAGUGCUAGGUGUUGGGGGCUUCCACCCUCAGUGCUGAAGUUAACACAUUAAGCACUCCGCCUGGGGAGUACGACCGCAAGG